AUGCUCAAAAUUCUCCAAGUCAGGCUUCAGCAAUAUGUGAACCAAGAACUUCCUGAUGUUCAAACUCUUUUUAGAAAAGGCAGAGGAAACAGAGAACAAAUUGACAACAUCUCCUGGAUCAUGGAAAAAGCAAGAGAGUUCCAGAAAAACAUCUAUUUCUGCUUUAUUGACUAUGCCAAAGCCUUUGACUGUGUGGAUCACAAUAAAUUGUGGAAAAUUCUGAGAGAGAUGGGAAUACAAGACCACCUGACCUGCCUCUUGAGAAAUCUGUAUGCAGAUCAGGAAGCAACAGUUAGAACUGGGUAUGGAACAAUAGAAUCAUUCCAAAUAGGAAAAGGAGUACGUCAAGGCUGUAUAUGGUCACCCUGCUUAUUUAACUUCUAUGCAGAGUACAUCAUGAGAAAUGCUGGACUCGAAGAAACACAAGCUGGAAGCAAGAUUUCUGGGAGAAAUAUCAAUCACCUCAGAUAUGCAGAUGACACCACCCUUAUGGCAGAAAGUGAAGAGGAACUAAAAAGCCUCUUGAUGAAUGUGAAAGACAAGAGUGAAAAAGUUGGCUUAAAGCUCAACAUUCAGAAAAUGAAGAUCAUGGCAUCUGGUCCCAUCACUUCAUGGGAAGUAGAUGGGGAAACAGUGGACACAGUGUCAGACUUUAUUUUGGGGGGCUCCAAAAUCACUGCAGAUGGUGACUGCAGCCGUGAAAUUAAAAGACACUUACUCCUUGGAAGAAAAGUUAUGACCAACCUAGAUAGUAUAUUCAAAAGCAGAGACAUUACUUUGCCGACUAAGGUCCGUCUAGUCAAGGCUAUGGUUUUUCCAGUGGUCGUGUAUGGAUGUGAGAGUUGGACUGUGAAGAAGGCUGAGCGCCAAAAAAUUGAUGCUUUUGAACUGUGGUGUUGGAGAAGACUUGAGAGUCCCUUGGACUGCAAGGAAGUCCAAACAAUCCAUUCUGAAGGAGAUCAGCACUGGGAUUUCUUUGGAAGGAAUGAUGCUAAAGCUGAAACUCCAGUACUUUGCCACCUCAUGCGAAGAGUUGACUCAUUGGAAAAGACUCUGAUGCUGGUAGCGACUGGGUGCAGGAGGAGAAGGGGACGACAGAGGAUGAGAUGGCUGCAUGGCAUCAUUGACUCGAUGGACGUGAGUCUGAGUGAACUCCGGUAG
rnacentral:lncRNA from 1 species